AUGGCGCCUCCCCGCCGCGGUCAACGCGCCACCACCGGCCUCGCCGUCCUCCUCCUGCUCUACGCCAUCUCCGCAUGCUCGCUCCUCCCCGCCGCCCGCGCCCAGGCCACCACCUUCACCAGCACCCGCAACGGCAGCGAGUUCACCACCUUCUCCUUCCCCUCGUUCGGCAACCCGCUGCGGCAGCUCCCCGGCAACCUCACCGUGUUGGGCAACGCCACCGUCAACGGGAACGCUCUGCAGAUCACGCCGGACACCAGGAACGACCCGGAGAAGUUCCUCAUCAACCAGACCGGCCGGGUCAUGUACCCCAGAGCCUACGUGCUCUGGGCCGCCAACGCGUCCAACUCCAGCGCCGACGGUCGGCGCGUCGCCUCCUUCUCCACCGUGUUCAAGGUCAACCUCUUCCGCGCGACCCCGUCCGUCAAGGGCGAAGGGUUCGCGUUCCUCAUCGCGUCCGAUGGCGGCGCCCCCCCGCCUCCCGGCAGCCACGGCGGCUACCUUGGCCUCACCAACGCGUCCACCGACGGUAGCGCCGCCAACGGGUUCGCCGCCGUGGAGCUGGACACGGUGAAGCAGCCCUACGACCCCGACGACAACCACGUCGGCCUCGACGUGAACGGCGUCCGGUCCACGGUCGUCGCCUCCCUCACCCCCUUCGGCAUCGACCUCGCGACCAACAACACCGACGACGACGGCAGCCACAUGGUCUGGAUCGAGUACAACGGCACGGCGCGGCACGUGUGGGUGUACAUGGCCAAGAACGGUAGCAGGCCGGGCACUCCCGUGCUCGACGCGCCGCUGGACCUCUCGAGGGUCCUCCUCGGCAAGAAGGCCUACUUCGGCUUCUCGGCGUCCACCGGCGUGCUGUACCAGCUCAACUGCUUGCACAGCUGGGACAUGACGGUGGAGGUUCUCCCCGACGACACCAUCCCCGGCAAGCAGCCGCUCUCCGGCUGGAAGCUCGGGCUUGCCAUCGGCGUGCCGUGCGCCUUCGCCCUGGCGCUCGGGCUGUUCGCCGGCCUGUACAGCAAGAGCAGGCGGAGGAGGAUAGGGGACGACUCGAGCUCGAUGGUCCGGAGCACCAUCAACUUCGCGAGCAUCCCCGGGGUGCCCAAGGAGUUCGACUACAAGGACCUGAGGAAAGGGACGGGCAACUUCGACGAGAAGAUGAAGCUGGGGCAGGGCGGGUACGGCGUGGUGUACCGCGCCACCGUGGUCGGGGAGCACGGCCAGAGCAUGGAGGUCGCCGUGAAGCAGUUCUCCGGGGCCAACACCAAGGGGCAGGAGGACUUCCUCGCCGAGCUCAGCAUCAUCAACCUCCUCCGCCACCGCAAUCUCGUCAAGCUCCUCGGCUGGUGCCACCAGGAUGGCGUGCUGCUGCUGGUGUACGACUUCAUGCCCAACGGCAGCCUGGACAGGCUCCUCUUCGGCGGGCCGGAGGCCCCGGUGCUCACCUGGGGGCACCGCUACAACAUCGUCGCCGGCGUGGCGUCCGCCCUCAACUACCUCCACCACGAGUACGACCAGCGGGUGAUCCACCGCGACAUCAAGCCGUCCAACAUCAUGCUGGACGCCGCCUUCAACGCGCGGCUCGGCGACUUCGGCCUCGCCCGCGCGCUCGAGACCGACAAGACCUCCUACACCGACAAGCUCGGCGUCCCGGGCACGCUCGGCUACAUCGCGCCGGAGUGCUUCCACACGGGCCGCGCCACGCGGGAGUCGGACGUCUUCGGCUUCGGCGCCGUCAUCCUGGAGAUCGUCUCCGGCCGCCGCAUCUCCUGCAGCAACGCCGCAGGGUGCAGCCAGCUGCUGGAGGGCGUGUGGCAGCUCCACGGCGCCGGCGAGGGCCGCAUCCUCGAGGCCGUCGACCGGCGGCUCGCGCCCGGGGAGUUCGACGAGGGCGACGCCGAGCGGCUGCUGCUGCUGGGCCUCGCGUGCAGCCACCCGAACCCCGGGGAGCGGCCGAGGGCGCGCGCCAUCGUGCAGAUCCUGGCGCGCUCCGCGCCGCCGCCGGACGUGCCGGCGUCCAAGCCGGCCUUCAUGUGGCCCGCGCUGCCGGUCGUGCUCGGGGACGACGACGGGGAGAUGCCGGUGUCCGGGACCAGCACGGCGCUGACCUCCUCGUCGUCGUACUACGCCUCGUCGGCGGGGUGGACGACGCAGAACUACCUGCUGACCAGGGAGCACGACGUGACGGACAGGGACAUGUCCACGGCGUGA
rnacentral:rRNA from 1 species